rnacentral:rRNA from 1 species
CUGUGACAUACCUCGACGUUGCUUCGGCGGGACCGCCCCGGCCCACGCGGACCGGAACCAGGCGCCCGCCGGAGGACCACAAACUCUUGUUUCCUAAUAGCGGCAAUACUCUGAGUCUCAAAACAAAAUAAAUCAAAACUUUCAACAACGGAUCUCUUGGCUCUGGCAUCGAUGAAGAACGCAGCGAAAUGCGAUAAGUAAUGUGAAUUGCAGAAUUCAGUGAAUCAUCGAAUCUUUGAACGCACAUUGCGCCCGCCAGUAUUCUGGCGGGCAUGCCUGUUCGAGCGUCAUUUCAACCCUCAAGCCCCAGCGGCUUGGUGUUGGGGACCGGCCCCGCGCCGCCCCCGAAAUGCAGUGGCGACCUCGCCGCAGCCUCCCCUGCGUAGUAGCACAAACCUCGCACCGGAGCGCGGAGACGGUCACGCCGUAAAACGCCCAACUUUCUUAGAGUUGACCUCGGAUCAGGUAGGAAUACCCGCUGAACUUAAGCAUAUCAAUAAUGCGGAGGAAAA